GGGUGGAGGAGGCGGUGGUGGAGGUUGUUUGUAUGAGUUCGCGUUCGGAUAGGCUGAGGUAGAGUUUGAGUUUGAGGUGCUCGUUGGGAUAAGUAGGUUGAAGUAUUCUGUAAGCAGUUAGGCAUAAGGGUCUGAGCUUCUGAAACAAAUUUGGACGUUAGUUGAAAGCAUAUAAAUGGGUAAGACUCUUCGGGAUAAGUGAAGAAUUGGAGACAGGGAAACAGUCCAGCUGGACUCGCAGAUUUAGAGAUGGGCAGUGGCAUGGGGGAGCAGGAUAAGAAAAGUCGGCGAGGUAAGAAGAAAAACAGGGCGACAUUUUGAAAGCCAAGGGAGCAAGUUUGAAGGCCGCCUCCUGGAGGUCAAGAGGAGGAUGACAAAUCUAUUCUAGCCUCGGUCAAACCGGAUUCCGAGGAGUGCAGGCGGGUGGGGGUGGGGCGGAGACACGCCGCUGCGGGCGACUUAAGUUUAGGGGCGAGAAAGGAGGCAGCCUUAGUAGUACAUGUAUUUUUAAAGGGAAUUUGGCUGUGACGAGACAGAAAGGGCGGGACUUGGCAGUUUAGAGCUCAAGGGGAUCAUCGGCUUCAGAAUCCCCUACUCUUUCGUGAGAGUAACUCUCCGUCUAAGGAUGUCUUCUGCAGUUCCUUAGGGUCCAUAUUGGGAUUUCCCGGCUGUAAACUAAACAAAGCAAAGCAAAACAAAACAAAAACCCACAGUGCCUCUCAGUAAAACAAAACCAGUAUUUUGUUUGAAAGCCUGCUCUCUUUAAAGAUCCUGGCAUGCAAAUAAGGGGCUUUAAUGUGGCUCUCAGCGAUUGGUAGAUACUUACAAAAUCCGUCAUUUCCUUUCAGUGCAGGACGCAAACCAAGAGG
rnacentral:lncRNA from 1 species